AAUGCCAUUAAUUUGGUGUUGCAGGGAAUCAGGACUGUUACUUUGAAAAAAUUAGAGUGUUUAAAGCAGGCUUUAGCUUGAAUACAUUAGCAUGGAAUAAUGAAAUAGGACGUUUGAUCCUAUUUUGUUGGUUUCUAGGAUUGACGUAAUGAUUAAUAGGGAUAGUUGGGA
rnacentral:rRNA from 1 species